UACGUAGGGGUCGAGCGUUGUCCGGAGUUACUGGGCGUAAAGCGUGCGCAGGCGGCUCAUUGCGCCCGGCGUGAAAGCCCCCGGCUCAACCGGGGAGGGUCGUCGGGGACGGGUGAGCUUGAGGGUAUCAGGGGUUGGUGGAAUUCCCGGUGUAGUGGUGAAAUGCGUAGAGAUCGGGAGGAACACCCGUGGCGAAGGCGGCCAACUGGGAUACACCUGACGCUGAGGCACGAAGGCGUGGGGAGCGAACGGG
rnacentral:rRNA from 2 species